rnacentral:misc_RNA from 1 species
GUGAAUCAUCGAAUUUUUGAACGCAAAUUGCACUUUCUGGUAUUCCGGAAAGUAUGCCUGUUUGAGGGUCAGUUAAAUAAAAUCGGUGUUGUUUCUUCUUUUCGUGGUUACGCGGCGGAAUUUAAUUGUCUUAACUUCGGUUUAAUUACUUAAAAUUUUGCAUGAUUUUCGAACGGAUUUUAAUUUCUUAAGUACGUUUGAGAUAUCGAAUACUUUAUUAAGUUCGGUCAUCCUC